AAAAAGAUGGCCCCCCGAAAAGCACAGAUCAGCCUUAAGACCUGUCCUAAAGAACUUAUUUCGCUGCCCUUUUUUGUGAAAUACUCAGAGGGUUUUACAGAUGCAUAGCUAAGGAUGAGGCAUCUCAGCAGGAGGAGAGACUGCUCCAGGAUCCCUCCGUUCUACAGUGACAAAACCAACACUGGAACCCAGGGCUUUGGAUGGCACCGCCCAUCAGCCUUGCCCAGUUCUCACGCCUCUGCUUAGACACACAGCUCAUCCUCUGCUGUUGGGCAGAAGGAAUCCUAUGAAAACUUCUGCAACAAGUGCUUAGGUUCAUGGACUUCGGGAACACUUUCUAUCCAUCAUUUAGAUUUUACUGUGACAAAGCUGUUCUGUUGCCCACAAAAACACUGAUCCCCUUCAUUUUUAUCAGGUGUCAAAGUCUGGCUCAUCAUCCUUUGGGGACCUUCCUCAGGUGCCGGAUUCCAGGAGAGCAGAAGCCAUGACCAGUGGAAUCCCAGAUGAUCCUGAGUGGCUGACGCGGACAGAGGUGUUGUCUGGAAUAUGGAGUCAUCUUUCUAUGGUGUCCCUCAAGACAUGCUGGGAUUUAGAGCUUUCAACAGCAUUCUUCUCUCUAGCCUCAAAGCAGUGGAACAUUGUAGGCAAACGUGUUUGGAGUUUGUGAAUAACUCUCAGAGCUGAUAUAUGUCUUCAUUUUCACAAUGGAACAUAAAGUGAUGAAUCCUAACUAGAGAAUAAAGCCAAAAGAUACACACCACUGAAAACGUUUCUCACGAGUCCGUGGUCCUGCAGCAGUGCUGCUGGGAGUCUGGCUUUCAAGAUGCUGCUGUAAUCAC
rnacentral:lncRNA from 1 species